GUGCCUGGCAUAUAUAAUAGUGUAUGCUAAUAACAUUAUUACAACUAUUCUUUUGGCAAAACCUUAUUGUCUUCUCUGCUUCAUACAGUGACCUACAUAAAAGAGCUAUAUAUCAAAUGCUUAUUAAGCAGCAAACACUGAGAUUUAUAUGUAUUUUCUCAUUUAAUGCUCAUGGGAACCCUAUAAGGUGAUAGUUGUUGUUACCUCCAUUUUACAGGUGAGGAAGUUGAAGCUCAGAGAAGUUGAAUAACUUGCCCAAGAUCACAUAGCAAAAAGAUAACCUCAACACAUGCCCUGGAUCAAACUAGGAACAUGACUGAAGAAUAAAAUUGCUCCUCCUGCAAAGAUGGAAGAAUGUUGAGCUCUGUGAGAGCUCCCCACAGCAUGAGGAAAUAAAGGGGUUGAAACCAGAGAGAAGCUGAGUGGAGACCAAGCAAGAAGGCAGGAAAGUAGGAGCCAGGAAGAGACAGGUGGCAAGCUCCCCACCAGCCCAGGAAUGGUCCAGAAAUGCUGUUCAGGAGCCAGGGCCUGGAGUUAGGAACCUUAGAAAUCUGCUCUAUUCUACUGUGGCUGAGUUGGCACCAAAGCUGCAAGACAAAGUCCUUCUCACUCUUCUCUCUCAUUUCCUCAACCUGAAGGAGUCUUUCUUCACAGCCACCACCACCUCAGGCCUAUGGCGAGUACUGCUUGGCUACCACUGAUGUUUACUCAAGGCACGAAGGCUCUUCAAUAAGCUUGCGGUGAAUGCUACACGUCCUGGGUCUCUCCUCUCAGGGAAACAGGCUCCCCUCUGGCCCAGGACAAGUUCAGAAAUGUUGUCCAAGACCCAAGGCCUGGAAUUGGGUACCUCAGGAGCCAGUUUGGUGCUUACCCCACUGUGGGCCGAGCUGAUACCUACGCUGCAAGACAAAUGUCACUUAUUUUUCCCUCUCCUUUUCUCAAACAGAAGAAGUCUCUCCUUGCGGCCACCACAGGUCAGACUAUGUUGGGUCUCCCCUGAAACCAGCACAGCACUGGGUCUCACCUAAGGCCCACAGAGAGUACUACGUGGCUACCACUGGUGUUUAUUCAAGGCCCAGAUUUCUUCAAU